GACGAACGCUGGCGGCGUGCUUAACACAUGCAAGUCGAGCGGUAAGGCCCUUUCGGGGGCACACGAGCGGCGAACGGGUGAGUAACACGUGGGUGACCUGCCCUCAGCUCUGGGAUAAGCCUGGGAAACUGGGUCUAAUACCGGAUAUGACCUCCUAUCGCAUGGUGGGUGGUGGAAAGUUUUUUCGGCUGGGGAUGGGCCCGCGGCCUAUCAGCUUGUUGGUGGGGUGAUGGCCUACCAAGGCGACGACGGGUAGCCGGCCUGAGAGGGCGACCGGCCACACUGGGACUGAGACACGGCCCAGACUCCUACGGGAGGCAGCAGUGGGGAAUAUUGCGCAAUGGGCGAAAGCCUGACGCAGCGACGCCGCGUGGGGGAUGACGGCCUUCGGGUUGUAAACCUCUUUCGACCUUGACGAAGGCCUUCGGGUUGACGGUAGGGGUAGAAGAAGCACCGGCCAACUACGUGCCAGCCGCCGCCGUAA
rnacentral:rRNA from 1 species